CGGCUGGACUUGAACUCCUGGGCUCAAGAGACCCUCCCACUUCACCCUCCCAAGUAGCUGGGAUUAAACCUAACUCUUAUUUAUUUUUUUGAGACAGAGUCUCACUCUGUUGCCUAGGCUGGAGUGCAGUGGCGUGAUCUCGACUCACUGCAGCCUCUGCCUCCAGGGUUCAAGCGAUUCUCCUGCCUCAGCCUCCCAAGUAGCUAGGACUACAAGCAUUUAAAGAGUUUAUUAUAUUAAUCUUCUUAUUUACCAUUCUGGUUUUCUUCAUUUCAUCUUGUGAAUUUAGUUUACCAUCUGGUGUCCUUUUCUUACUCACUCCAAUAGAGCUUUGUUGCCAUGCACCUCCUUUCUGCUGUUAUCA
rnacentral:lncRNA from 1 species